AUCCCGGAUUAACUCGCUUAGCUGUUCUUCUGAUUCAUGGGAGGCCAAGAUCGAUGUUUUCUGGGAGUUUCGCUGAUAGCGCCUUCUUUACUCGUGGAGGCGCUUCAUUAGUAACUCGCCACACAAAA